UACGUAGGGUCCGAGCGUUGUCCGGAAUUAUUGGGCGUAAAGGGCUCGUAGGCGGUUUGUCGCGUCGGGAGUGAAAACUCAGGGCUCAACCCUGAGCGUGCUUCCGAUACGGGCAGACUAGAGGUAUGCAGGGGGAGAACGGAAUUCCUGGGUGUAGCGGUGGAAUGCGCAGAUAUCAGGAGGAACACCGGUGGCGGAAGGCGGUCUCUGGGCAUUACCUGACGCUGAGGAGCGAAAGCAUGGGGGAGC
rnacentral:rRNA from 1 species